GGGAUUUUAGUUAAUUAAUAACAUCUAACUUGCAUUUAGAAAUUAUAAUCUUCUUAUAAAUCUUU
rnacentral:tRNA from 1 species